AUCCUAACCUGGCAGGGAAGAUACCAUGAUAAUGGAGAUUAUUUUCCCAGUGUGAGGCUCACCCUUUGCAUUCCAGAGGGUGCGACUCCUGCAAUUUCCCCAAAUAUGAGGAAACUCAACUGCAUAGUUUGUGGUAGGGGAGGACUGUGUUUGCACUCAACCCUG
rfam:Canis lupus familiaris chromosome 32, whole genome shotgun sequence.